rnacentral:rRNA from 1 species
UACGAAGGGGGCUAGCGUUGCUCGGAAUUACUGGGCGUAAAGGGCGCGUAGGCGGACAGUUUAGUCAGAGGUGAAAGCCCAGGGCUCAACCUUGGAAUUGCCUUUGAUACUGGCUGUCUUGAGUUCGGGAGAGGUGAGUGGAAUGCCGAGUGUAGAGGUAAAAUUCGUAGAUAUUCGGCGGAACACCAGUGGCGAAGGCGACUCACUGGCCCGAUACUGACGCUGAGGCGCGAAAGCGUGGGGAGCAAACAGG